UUCAGUCAUAGAGUGACCGUACCGCAAACCGACACAGGUGGGCAGGUAGAAGAUACUAAGGCGCUUGAGAGAACUCAGGAGAAGGAACUCGGCAAAUUGAUACCGUAACUUCGGGAGAAGGUAUGCCCCAUUAGCUUGUAGGAGAACAUCCGAAGGGCGAAGGGGCCGCAGAGAAUCGGUGGCUGCGACUGUUUAUUAAAAACACAGCACUCUGCAAACACGAAAGUGGACGUAUAGGGUGUGACGCCUGCCCGGUGCCGGAAGGUUAAGUGAUGGGGUGCAAGCUCUUGAUCGAAGCCCCGGUAAACGGCGGCCGUAACUAUAACGGUCCUAAGGUAGCGAAAUUCCUUGUCGGGUAAGUUCCGACCUGCACGAAUGGCGUAACGAUGGCCACACUGUCUCCUCCUGAGACUCAGCGAAGUUGAAGUGUUUGUGAAGAUGCAAUCUCCCCGCGGCUAGACGGAAAGACCCCAUGAACCUUUACUGUAGCUUUGCAUUGGACUUUGACGGGACUUGUGUAGGAUAGGUGGGAGGCAUUGAAACCGGGACGCUAGUUCCGGUGGAGCCAACCUUGAAAUACCACCCUGGGUCGUUGAGGUUCUAACCCAGGUCUGUGAAUCCAGAUCGGGGACCGUGCAUGGUGGGCAGUUUGACUGGGGCGGUCUCCUCCCAAAAGGUAACGGAGGAGUACGAAGGUCUUCUAGGUACGGUCGGACAUCGUACUGAUAGUGCAAUGGCAAAAGAAGGCUUGACUGCGAGACCGACAAGUCGAGCAGGUGCGAAAGCAGGUCAUAGUGAUCCGGUGGUUCUGUAUGGAAGGGCCAUCGCUCAACGGAUAAAAGGUACUCUGGGGAUAACAGGCUGAUUCCGCCCAAGAGUUCACAUCGACGGCGGAGUUUGGCACCUCGAUGUCGGCUCAUCACAUCCUGGGGCUGUAGCCGGUCCCAAGGGUAUGGCUGUUCGCCAUUUAAAGUGGUACGUGAGCUGGGUUUAAAACGUCGUGAGACAGUUUGGUCCCUAUCUGCCGUGGGCGCUGGAUAUUUGAGGGGGCCUGCUCCUAGUACGAGAGGACCGGAGUGGACGAAUCUCUGGUGUACCGGUUGUGACGCCAGUCGCAUCGCCGGGUAGCUAAAUUCGGAAGAGAUAACCGCUGAAAGCAUCUAAGCGGGAAACUCGCCUCAAGAUGAGAUAUCCCUGGGAACUUGAUUCCCCUAAAGGGUCGUUGAAGACCACGACGUUGAUAGGCUGGGUGUGGAAGUG
rnacentral:rRNA from 1 species